UAUUGAUGCGCCACGCAAGCUGCCCCUGCAAAACUAUCAUUCCUAGAAGCAACAUUUAUCAGGCUGACGAACUCUUCUUAAGAUGAUAUAUCAGAGAGAGACGCCUGUCAAAAGAAAGAUGUAACAUUGUUAGAAAUGUCAAAAGAAUGAUUGUGCUUCCUUUUGGCAUUGACAGAGGACUUGAAUUAAUCAUGCUGAUGAAUAGCAGGGCAAUUCUCCUUUGGCAUAUCAGAUGAUAUGCGUGUGCAUUGUCCGUAUGCCCAAGGAGAAUCGCACUGUUAUUCACCAAACACAAACUUUUUUCUUCAAGGAAUCCAUGUUAUUGUUCAAGAAAUUAAUUUGUCUUUAGAUGUAUACUGAGGCAAGAGUUGCAAGACUGAUAAAACAAGCUUCAGUUAAAUGAAAGUGCUUCAGAAUUGUUACCCUAAUCCUACUGUUUUAUAAGAUAGCUGGCAGCUGGACAACUGGAGUUGUAAAACUGCUUAUUGUGUAAGACUUCUCAAACAAGAUAAGGAAUUGUUCUACAAAAUAGCAUGCAGAAAAAUGAGGUUUAUUCCUUAACCCCACAUCUGCUGUUUUAUUCUGUUUUUACAUGCUCGACUUGCCACAAAAUUAAGAAGCUGGUUUAUGCUGUAUAAUAUGCCGCUUUGUUCUAAUAUAUAUACUAGGUAUUGUGGGAAAAGGCAUAGCAUAUGCUUGGAGACUAUUCCAUUUGAGGAUCUCUUUUUACAUUCCCUGGUCUUUACAAUCUGAAACUGUUGUUGACGGGUUGAUGUUUCCCUUUUCCUGUUGAACUUAUCAGAUUUGGAUGUCUCUUUAUGCUUAAAAUUACUGUUAUUAAAGAUUGUGUUUGAAGAUCAAACGAGUCAACCAAAUAUUAUUUAUAUAUACCAUCUCUUUAUCCCUUAUACUAGACAAUCAAGCUCGAGUUGUCACAAACAUUGGAGAAUAUAAUAACUGAUUUAGAUCUUUAUUUGGAUAUGCCAAAGAAAGUACAAUAUAUGCUUGGGACAAUCUAGGCCAAUAUGUAGUUUAUGUACCUGGCUACACAAUGCUUACUGUGCACCACGUUUUUAAACAAACAUAUCGUUCAAAUCCAAAUAACAUAUAUUUCAAACCCAAAUAACAUAGUUCAAACCCAAAAAAUCAUGAAAUAAAAGAACAUAUAGUAAAAUGUUCCACUUAUGUACGUGUACAUUAAAGUCCUUCUCCAUGAUAAGUGGGGAGAACAAUGUAUGAUCAAAAUUGCGCUUAAAGCUGGUUGUUAUCUAUUUUUAGGUUCAUUAUAUUUUGUACUUUGUUUGUCAAAAUUCUGCAAAGUUCUGAAUACUAUUGCACAUUUCAGCCCCCAACUCUCUUCUUUUCUGUUUUAUGAGUUGUGAUUAGUUAUACAAGUGUGCAACUAAAGCAGGUUAUUAAAACACACUGAACAAGGAAAAAAAUCUAAAUAGGUAAUUAUGUUUUUGAUGGUCUGAAUAGGUAUAUAAGUAAUUGGCAAAAACUGAGAGCAAAUAAUUGGCAAACCAUCCAUUUGACGGCGGAAUACUGAGGAACGCUUCAAUGGAAACUGAUAUAGCUAAUUGAUUCUAUGAUGUAAUUGCAUAUUCUUGUCCAGAGAACAUUUUAAUGCAGUUGGCAAUGUGCCUCAAUGUGUUCAAAGACUCUAAUUGGACUUCAGGUCGCCGAGUUUUGGAUGUGCUUGGAAUAUUUCUUUUUCGAAUAAUCACCAAAAUGUUCAUGAUGUUUUUUUUAUUUGCAGAAAAAUGCCCAGCCUUACAGUACUCUUUGCAGGAAUAUGCUUUUUCCAUGACAAAUGGUCACAACUGAUCCUCUUAUAUAUACUGUGUAAUUUCAACCCUCAAAGUUAGUUUAUUGAGUGGAGUAAGAAAAUGCAUGGACGUAUUACUGGGCAAAUUCGUUUUGGCAGAUGGUUUCUGAUCUGGUAAUUUACAUACAGUUCACAUCAUCAGCUCACUGCCAAAGGAGAUUUGCCCGGCAAUUCGGCCAUGCAAAUCAUAGCUUGCAAUGCUUUCUUCUCAUUGCAUGAUACAAGGAAACACAUACUUGUAAAUUUUAGACUGUCAGAACAACAGGUCAUUUAAAAUCAGUAUUUAUUUGAUCUGGUUUACUUCACUAACCUGGUUUAAUUUACUGUAUGGAGUAGACGCGUAAUUUAAUGUAAUAUUCGGAACCCUGUUGUAUGUAGGUCAGUUGUGUAGUCCUUUUUCCCCCCCUCUUAUUUCUGGUUGAGUUUAAUAGCAGCAUCUAUAUACUGUAUUAGUUUCUGUUUGUUCAUGUAGUUGUCAGCAUUUUAAUCAUCGCUUUGAAAUUUACCUUACCACAUAAACUUAUUAUCUAGCCAUUCAUUUUCAGUCUUUACCACAUAGAUAAUAAUAGUAUGUGAUCCUGUCUUAUUUUUAUGUAGCAUGCUUGGGUAUUGAAUUUUUUGAUAAAGUAUAAUUAGAAAACAAUCUCUCUGCUGUCACAGGGUUAAGGUUACAACCUGUUUAACUAAGUUUUGGGUUACGGAGAAAUUUGGAUGUUGGUGCUAUCUUUUGUAUACUUGUCAAACAGGUUGGUAUAAUGAGUAGUAUACAGUUCCCUCCCUCAAGAUUGUCCUCUCCUCCUAACACAAGUAUCUUAAGUUCCCGAUAAGAAAGAAAAUCGUCUCCAGCUUCUGUUUAACAAAGUUUCUGUACUUGGGAGAUUUUUGUUUACUUGGUUUACUUAAGGCAUUUGUCGUAAGUUUCUUCCCUCUCUUUUUUCCUUAUUAAGAAAUGAAAAUGGGUUUUCAUAGUCAUUUCAUUAUAUUACAGUCCUAGAUUUCAAGUAGUUGGUUUAAUUAGUCAUUGCUGCAUAGUCAAAAUGAGGAUGGAAAUGUCUCACAAGCUAUAAUUUCUGUCAUAGAGUGGGCAUUAGGUAUUAAUUAUGUUAAGAAUACAUGAAUGGAAAAAGUACUGUUUCAACUAUAGCUCUUAUUUCUUAUUCAAUAAGAAGUAUAUGUUUUUCAGAUGACACAUUGUAAAGUUCCCAAGCCCAAGGGUUGUGUUUGCUGAAGAUGCCUGAAGCGAAUCAGAGGAGAACCUUAGCAAUAACGUCAUAUUAUCAAAGACAUGUCGGACCGGAGAUUGCUGUGCUAGACCAGUUACCUCCUUGUAAUCAGCUCAAUGGAGAAACCCCACAACAAUAUUUAUACCACAUUAGCACCUGACUUUUAACUUUGACAUUGGAUAUGCAUAAGGAAGGGCAUAUGCUAGAAAAGUUUCCAUUUAAUAACCUUAUGCCAUGCAUGUACUACAUAAUUCUCCUAGGAAUGAUUUCCCUAGAAAACCGUAUUCAGUCCAAUGAUCCACGUUGUUGAACUAUAGAAUUCUCCUAAGAUUUGGAUAUGCCUAUUAUAAUAC